AUGCUGCCAAGUUCUGGGGAAGGCAGGUCAUGCCGACGGCCGACUUUACGUGGAAGAACCGUGCGCCCCUCCAAUGUUGUUUCUUUGCUUGGCUUGCCUUGCGAAACAUGCUAUCAAGAGGAGGAGACAAUUGGGCAUCUCCUGCUGGAUUGCGUCUUUGCACGGCAGGUUUGGAUCGCGGUGGGACAAGGCCUUGGACAGGUUACGUGGGCUCCAGCUAGGAACACUUUGCUCUCUGAUUGGUGCCAAGUCAUCAACGAUACAGGCCAGAGAAAGAAGGACACGCGCGCGAUAGCCAUUCUUGUAAUGUGGGAGCUAUGGAAGCACCGAAACGCGAUUGUGUUUGACCGGUGCACACCUUCGGUGGAGCGAAUUCUGGUCAGGAUUGAAGCCGAGGGCAGCGCAUGGAAGAUGGCCGGGAUCAUCAAGGGCGACGUGUCCUUUGGGGUAAUGACAGGGUGA
rnacentral:rRNA from 1 species